GGUACUGAUCCCAAUUGAUCUUACAGGGCUUAAGAGACUUGCCUAUGUCAGGCUGUGUUAAUGUAGCUGCUGGGAAAAAGAGACUAUAGAAGGCCUUUGGCUUUCAGAGUGUCUGGAUUUGGGGAUUUUUGGCCUUUUUUUUUUUUAACUGCAUCAGAACACAAUUUUCAAAAUUCCCCAGUUGGCUUAGAGACCUAAGUAGUGCUUUUAUAGCAAUCAAAUCUUUACGCUUUGGACUCGCUCUGAUUUUCAGUGGUACCGCAAGUCAAAUUUUCCAAAGCAUCGCAGUCCUUUAGCCACACUCCUUGUGGGUAUUUAUUUGGUGAGUUUCCCUCCUCUGGUUUUGAUUUGGUUUAUAUCCUAAAUAACCUAAUAGUUUUCACUAUUUAUUCUGCAUGUAGGAAUGCUUGGGAGCAAGGUAUUAACAACUGUGCGUCCCUGCUGAAUGACUUUCUUCUCUGAACUUUCCUGUGUGAGAGGAGAAAAUUCUUCUCCAAAUCGUUUCAGGCCUUUUGUUGUUGUUUUUUGUCAGGCAGAACUCCAUCAGGAAAUCUGAACACCUGGAGAAGGUUCAAGCAUAGACUGAGCUUCAGGUCUCAGCUUGGACCCAACAGGCACAAACUGCCCCCAGCAGACCCAGACAUGAUCUCGUUCAGGACAAGCACAAGUGUGAACUGAACACAGUAGAGGCCCCUGCUUGUGGAAAGUCUGAUUUUGUUUUCACGUGCCCAUCAGAAACAUGGACGCAGAAAAAGAAACCUACUGUGCCAUCUUGUUUUACAAGUUCAGUUUCUGAUUAUGAUCUCAGUAGUGUUAUAAAAUGCAUUUUAUGUGAAAAAAAUUAUCAUUCUUACAGACCUAAGCAGAGGUUUAUUUUUGUAACCAAACCUGCUAUUAAGGAGAGUCAGGCCAUGUUUUCUCAUAGCAUCGACAUGCCUGUCCGACAGUGCCCUGGAUUUCCUUCCCUUAAAAAUUGUUCCCAGAAGAGAGGGCAGCCUCCUUUGUUUCUCUUCAAGAGAGGUGGGACAGACACAGUUUUGCCAACAUUGAGUGCUGCUCAUAAGAAAGAUUUUUUUUGCUCUGUUAUGUAUUUCUCAUUUUCCAUUACAUCGCUGCGGUAAUAAAAGGGGAAGCCAUUUCUAACAUUGGAUAUCUUCCUUCAGAGACACCAGCAACUUGGGACAGCUUCUCCUACAUAUGUAAUGCUUCAUUUUAGGACCUGAUGACAUGGGUCUUGCAUUAACAGCCAUAGAACAGAAAGUAAAGACCAAAAGAAGAAAAAAUUAGCACGCUGAGAGUGCCGGUAGCAGUAAGUGAGGCAGUCCUGCCAUCCUGAGUCAUUAGAAGAGCUACUGUUGAUGGGAUCCUGUGUAAAAUAAAGCAUGGACGUUUCUGAUAAUCUAUGUAAUU
rnacentral:lncRNA from 1 species